rnacentral:rRNA from 1 species
CAAUAGCGUAUAUUUAAGUUGUUGCAGUUAAAAAGCUCGUAGUCGGAUUUUGGCUGAGAACGAACGGUCCGCCGUUAGGUGUGCACUGUUUGGUCUCAGCUUCCUGGUGAGGAGGUAUGCUUCACGGCCACUUAGUCACCGUGGUUACUUUGAAAAAAUUAGAGUGUUCAAAGCGGGCUUACGCUUGAAUAUAUUAGCAUGGAAUAACACCAUAGGACUCCUGUCCUAUUUCGUUGGUCUCGGGACGGGAGUAAUGAUUAAGAGGAACAGUUGGGGGCAUUCGUAUUUCAUUGUCAGAGGUGAAAUUCUUGGAUUUAUGAAAGACGAACUUCUGCGAAAGCAUUUGCCAAGGAUGUUUUCAUUGA